rnacentral:rRNA from 1 species
CAUGGCUCAGGACGAACGCUGGCGGCGUGCUUAACACAUGCAAGUCGAACGAUGAACCUCCUUCGGGAGGGGAUUAGUGGCGAACGGGUGAGUAACACGUGGGCAACCUGCCCCGCACACUGGGAUAAGCCCUGGAAACGGGGUCUAAUACCGGAUAUGACUCAAGGUCGCAUGGUCUUGGGUGGAAAGCUCCGGCGGUGCGGGAUGGGCCCGCGGCCUAUCAGCUUGUUGGUGAGGUAACGGCUCACCAAGGCGACGACGGGUAGCCGGCCUGAGAGGGCGACCGGCCACACUGGGACUGAGACACGGCCCAGACUCCUACGGGAGGCAGCAGUGGGGA